GGAUUGUGGCUCAGUGGUAGAGGGCUUGCCUAACAUGUGCAAGGCCCUGGGUUCGAUCCUCAGCACCA
rnacentral:tRNA from 1 species